rnacentral:tmRNA from 1 species
GGGGUUGACUGGUUUUGACAGCGAGAUGAAGUGGUUUGUAAGCAUGCAGUGCAUAGUCGGCUGGCACUAUAAUCUCAGACGUCAACAAAUUUAACUGGCGAAGAAAAUUACGCUCUUGCUGCUUAAUCGAAGUAUAGUAGAUAUAGCUUAAUCUCUGCACAGGUGUAGAGACAAGACAUCACCCGGAAGCUGUGGUUCCGAAGCGUGCCGGUCAGGUGGUGUAGGUAAAUCGGAAAUAGGAUAAGAUAUGCUUCGGCUUUUGUCCGAAAUUAAAGAAGCUAAGGUUUGAGUUGGUAGCUUUGGUCUUGCUCACUCCCGACAAUCGAAGCAAAGAUAAGCAUGUAGAAAGCAAAUUAGUUCCUUGUUUGGACGAGGGUUCGAAUCCCUCCAGCUCCACAG